UCCCCGUUACCGGGGCAGUCUGAUUAGAAAAAUCCAACUAAUCAUAAGGGUUGCGCUCGUUGAAGGACUUAACCUAACAUCUCACGACACGAGCUGACGACGGCCAUGCAGCACCUGUCACUUGGCUCCCUAAGGCACUCUCGGCUUUCGCCAAAAUUCCAAGGAUGUCAAACCCUGGUAAGGUUCUUCGCUUACCAUCGAAUUAAAGAACAUGAUCCACCGCUUGUGCGGGUCCCCGUCAAUUCCUUUGAGUUUUAAUCUUGCGACCGUACUCCCCAGGCGGGAUGCUUAACGCGUUAGCUUCGCUACUGAACGGGUCGAUACGUCCAACAGCUAGCAUCCAUAGUUUACGGCGUGGACUAC
rnacentral:misc_RNA from 1 species